UACGUAGAUGGCGAGCGUUAUUCGGAUUUACUGGGCGUAAAGGGUCCGCAGGGGGCCUGUCAAGCCCGCCGUGAAACCCCGGGGCUCAACCCCGGGACUGCGGUGGGGACUGCCGGGCUAGAGUGUGUGAUGGGCAGACGGAACACCUGGUGUAGCGGUGGAAUGCGUAGAUAUCAGGUGGAACACCGAUGGCGAAGGCGGUCUGCUGGCACAUCACUGACACUCAGGGACGAAAGCGUGGGUAGCGAACAGGAUUAGAUACCCUGGUAGUCCACGCCGUAAACGUUGAGUACUAGACGUCCGGGGGCUGACCCCCCGGGUGUCCAAGUAAACGCGAUAAGUACUCCGCCUGGGGACUACGGCCGCAAGGCUAAA
rnacentral:rRNA from 1 species